CAGUCGAGCGGACCGAAUUAGGGCUUGCUCUUGAUUUGGUCAGCGGCGGACGGGUGAGUAACACGUGGGCAACCUGCCCGCAAGACCGGGAUAACUCCGGGAAACCGGAGCUAAUACCGGAUAACACCGAAGACCGCAUGGUCUUCGGUUGAAAGGCGGCCUUUGGGCUGUCACUUGCGGAUGGGCCCGCGGCGCAUUAGCUAGUUGGUGAGGUAACGGCUCACCAAGGCGACGAUGCGUAGCCGGCCUGAGAGGGUGACCGGCCACACUGGGACUGAGACACGGCCCAGACUCCUACGGGAGGCAGCAGUAGGGAAUCUUCCGCAAUGGGCGAAAGCCUGACGGAGCGACGCCGCGUGAGCGAAGAAGGCCUUCGGGUCGUAAAGCUCUGUUGUGAGGGACGAAGGAGCGCCGUUCGAAGAGGGCGGCGCGGUGACGGUACCUCACGAGAAAGCCCCGGCUAACUACGUGCCAGCAGCCGCGGUAAUACGUAGGGGGCGAGCGUUGUCCGGAAUUAUUGGGCGUAAAGCGCGCGCAGGCGGUCUCUUAAGUCUGAUGUGAAAGCCCACGGCUCAACCGUGGAGGGUCAUUGGAAACUGGGGGACUUGAGGGCAGGAGAGGAGAGCGGAAUUCCACGUGUAGCGGUGAAAUGCGUAGAGAUGUGGAGGAACACCAGUGGCGAAGGCGGCUCUCUGGCCUGUACCUGACGCUGAGGCGCGAAAGCGUGGGGAGCAAACAUGAUUAGAUACCCUGGUAGUCCACGCCGUAAACGAUGAGUGCUAAGUGUUAGAGGGGUCACACCCCUUUAGUGCUGCAGCUAACGCGAUAGCACUUCCGCCUGGGGAGUACGGCCGCAGGCUGAACUCAAGAAUUGACGG
rnacentral:rRNA from 1 species